rnacentral:rRNA from 1 species
UCCCCUAGUAACGGCGAGUGAAGCGGGAAGAGCUCAAAUUUGUAAUCUGGCACUUUCAGUGUCCGAGUUGUAAUCUCGAGAAGUGUUUUCCGCGCCGGACCGCAUACAAGUCUGUUGGAAUACAGCGUCAUAGUGGUGAGAACCCCGUAACUGAUGCGGAUGCCCAGUGCUUUGUGAUACACUUUCAAAAAGUCAGUUGUUUGGGAAUGCAGCUCAAAAUGGGUGGUAAAUUCCAUCUAAAGCUAAAUAUUGGCGAGAGACCGAUAGCGAACAAGUACCGUGAGGGAAAGAUGAAAAGCACCUUGGAAAGGGAGUUAACAGUACGUGAAAUUGUUGGAAGGGAAACGCUUGAAGUCAGACUUGCUAUGUGGAUUUAUUCGCUUCGCAGGCCAGCAUCAGUUUCUGGGGGUGGAAAAGGGUUGGGAGAAUGUAGCAACUCCGGUUGUGUUAUAGCUCCUUUCUGGAUUCAUCUUUGGGGACUGAGGAACGCAGCGCGCUUUUUGCAAGGCUCUCGAGCUUUUCGCGCUUAGGAUGCUGGUGGAAUGGCUUUAAACGACCCGUCUUGAAACACGGACCAAGGAGUCUAACAUGCUUGCGAGUGUUUGGGUGUCAAACCCGGACGCGCAAUGAAAGUGAAUGGAGGUGGGAUCCGCAAGGUGCACCAUCGACCGAUCUGGAUUUUCUAAGAUGGAUUUGAGUAAGAGCAAUUAUGUUGGGACCCGAAAGAUGGUGAACUAUGCCUGAAUAGGGCGAAGCCAGAGGAAACUCUGGUGGAGGCUCGUAGCGGUUCUGACGUGCAAAUCGAUCGUCAAAUUUGGGUAUAGGGGCGAAAGACUAAUCGAACCAUCUAGUAGCUGGUUCCUGCCGAAGUUUCCCUCAGGAUAGCAGAAACUCACAUCAGUUCUAUGAGGUAAAGCGAAUGAUUAGAGGCCUUGGGGUUGAAACAACCUUAACCUAUUCUCAAACUUUAAAUAUGUAGGAAGUCCUUGCUACUUAA